AUGCCUUACACAUGCAAGUCGAACGGCAGCACGGACUUCGGUCUGGUGGCGAGUGGCGAACGGGUGAGUAAUACAUCGGAACAUGUCCUGUAGUGGGGGAUAGCCCGGCGAAAGCCGGAUUAAUACCGCAUACGAUCUACGGAUGAAAGCGGGGGACCUUCGGGCCUCGCGCUAUAGGGUUGGCCGAUGGCUGAUUAGCUAGUUGGUAGGGUAAAAGCCUACCAAGGCGACGAUCAGUAGCUGGUCUGAGAGGACGACCAGCCACACUGGGACUGAGACACGGCCCAGACUCCUACGGGAGGCAGCAGU
rnacentral:rRNA from 1 species